CGUGUAGGCGGCUUUGCAAGUCGGGUGUGAAAUCCCUCAGCUCAACUGAGGAAGUGCGCCCGAAACUGCUUAGCUUGAGUGCCGGAGAGGAUGGCGGAAUUCCCCAAGUAGAGGUGAAAUUCGUAGAUAUGGGGAGGAACACCGGUGGCGAAGGCGGCCAUCUGGACGGUAACUGACGCUGAGACGCGAAAGCGUGGGUAGCAAACAGGAUUAGAUACCCUGGUAGUCCACGCCGUAAACGAUGAGAACUAGGUGUCGUGGGUGUUGACCCCCGCGGUGCCGUAGCUAACGCAUUAAGUUCUCCGCCUGGGAAGUACGGUCGCAAGACUAAA
rnacentral:rRNA from 1 species